AUUUUCUUUUGCAGACCUCCAUUGAAAAAAAAACAUGUAGGGAGUUGAAACAAAAUUCAUGUAAUAUAUGUACGCCAGACUUGUGUGAUGUUUUCUUUUAAAGUAUAUUGUUAAUUCUGGUACAUCUAAAAAUAGAUGUUGUGAUACAUAUUUGUUGUUAUUUGUAUGAAAAUGAAAUAUAUUGAAUAGAUUCUUUUAAUUGAUUAAAC
rnacentral:lncRNA from 1 species